UACGAAGGGACCUAGCGUAGUUCGGAAUUACUGGGCUUAAAGAGUUCGUAGGUGGUUGAAAAAGUUGGUGGUGAAAUCCCAGAGCUUAACUCUGGAACUGCCAUCAAAACUUUUCAGCUAGAGUAUGAUAGAGGAAAGCAGAAUUUCUAGUGUAGAGGUGAAAUUCGUAGAUAUUAUAAAGAAUACCAAUUGCGAAGGCAGCUUUCUGGAUCAUUACUGACACUGAGGAACGAAAGCAUGGGUAGCGAAGAGGAUUAGAUACCCUCGUAGUCCAUGCCGUAAACGAUGUGUGUUAGACGUUGGAAAUUUAUUUUCAGUGCCGCAGCGAAAGCGAUAAACACACCGCCUGGGGAGUGCGACCGCAAGGUUAAAACUCAAAUGAAUUGACGGGGACCCGCACAAGUAGUGGAGCAUGUGGUUUAAUUAGAAGAUACGCGCAGAACCUUACCAACCCUUGACAUGUUCGUCGCGACUAUAAGAGAUUAGAGUUUUCGGUUCGGCCGGACGAAACACAGGUGCUGCAUGGCUGUCGUCAGCUCGUGUCGUGAGAUGUUGGGUUAAGUCCCGCACCGAGCGCAACCCUCACUUUUAGUUGCCGUCAUUAAGUUGGCCUCUCUGAAAGAACUGCCAGUGAUAAGCUGGAGGAAGGUGGGGAGGACGUCAAGUCCUCAUGGCCCUUACGUGUUGGGCUACACACGUGCUCCAAUGGUUAUCCAACAGGAAGCAAGACUGCGAAGUUAAGCAAAUCCAUAAAAGAUACCUCAGUUCGGAUUGCGCUCUGCAACUCGAGUGCAUGAAGCGGGAAUUAUUAGUAAUCGUGGAUCAGCGUGCCACGGUGAAUGCGUUCCCGGGUCU
rnacentral:rRNA from 1 species